rnacentral:rRNA from 1 species
UACGUAGGGUGCGAGCGUUGUCCGGAAUUAUUGGGCGUAAAGGGCUCGUAGGCGGUUUGUCGCGUCGGGUGUGAAAACUCAGGGCUCAACCCUGAGCGUGCUUCCGAUACGGGCAGACUAGAGGUAUGCAGGGGAGAACGGAAUUCCUGGUGUAGCGGUGGAAUGCGCAGAUAUCAGGAGGAACACCGGUGGCGAAGGCGGUUCUCUGGGCAUGACCUGACGCUGAGGCGCGAGAGCGUGGGGAGCAAACAGG